rnacentral:rRNA from 1 species
CGGGACGGGUGAGUAACGCGUGGGUAACCUACCCUGUACACACAGAUAACAUACCGAAAGGUAUGCUAAUACGGGAUAAUAUAUUUGAGAGGCAUCUCUUGAAUAUCAAAGGUGAGCCAGACAGGAUGGACCCGCGUCUGAUUAGCUAGUUGGUAAGGUAACGGCUUACCAAGGCGACGAUCAGUAGCCGACCUGAGAGGGUGAUGGCCACAUUGGAACUGAGACACGGUCCAA